rnacentral:lncRNA from 1 species
GAUUAAGUAAUAUUCCUGGUUUUAUUUCUUGCAUACAUUUUUUUUAAAGAUUUAAGGAACAUUUUAAGAGCUGCAGUUACAGUUGGAAGAGUUUGCACUCUCUGAAUCUUUAUUCCAAUUAAAACACCUCACUUUUUCCACUGGCAAAGGGGAAAGCUAUAAAGUAACACACUACUCUUUGGCUUCUAAGAUAUGCAAAUAGUUUUCCCACUUAAGAUCUCUUCUAGACUUGGUCAGCACAAAUUACUAAAGCAUUCAGUGUGGCUCAGUGAGAGACAAUGACUGAGCCGUAACAGAGGGGUUCAGCACUUUUGAAGAUGUGAACGCUGAGGCACCUGUGAUAAAGAAAAGAGUUUUAAAAGCAAGACAUACAAUCCAGAGUUAAGCACUCAAAGCCUUCAGCUUGUUGUUGUUAUAUGCUGUCAAGUCAACUCCGACCCAUGGCAACCCUACGCUUGAGCAACCUCAAGAAUGUCCUGUCAUUCACAGCGGUUGCAAACUCAAGGCCGUGCCUUCAUUUCCUUCAACUGAGGAUCCUCCCUCUGCCUACAAAGCAAGAAGAAACAUGA